rnacentral:rRNA from 1 species
ACGGAAGGCAGCAGUGAGGAAUAUUGGUCAAUGGGCGAGAGCCUGAACCAGCCAAGUAGCGUGUAGGACGACUGCCCUAUGGGUUGUAAACUACUUUUGUUCGGGAAUAAAGUCAGGUACGUGUACCUGUUUGUAUGUACCGUUCGAAUAAGCAUCGGCUAAUUCCGUGCCAGCAGCCGCGGUAAUACGGAAGAUGCGAGCGUUAUCCGGAUUUAUUGGGUUUAAAGGGAGCGUAGGCGGUCCUUUAAGUCAGCGGUCAAAUGUCGGGGCCCCACCCCGGCCUGCCGUUGAUACUGGAGGACUUGAAUACACACAAGGAAGGUGGAAUUCGUCGUGUAGCGGUGAAAUGCUUAGAUAUGACGAAGAACUCCGAUUGCGAAGGCAGCCUUCUGGAGUGCGAUUGACGCUGAGGCUCGAAAGCGCGGGUAUCAAACAGGAUUAGAUACCCUGGUA